rnacentral:ncRNA from 1 species
CACCGUGAGGUGGAAUCUGAAGGAAGCCGGAUGUGGGAGAGAGACUAACCACGGGCAAACCUCUGGCCUGACGAACAGAAACCGCAUAGAAGGCUAUAUGCGAGGGUAAGGCUGCUAGACAAGUCAAAGCCCAAUAGCUGCACGGAAUCGCAUGUGGUAAAUGCGGCAGGUAGAUGGAGGGAAAGAAAC